ACCAGGUAAGAACAGUGUCAGAACGGCUCCUCCAAAACCACCUCUGCGUCAAGGGGGAAAAAUGUCUAUUUCACCAGUCCAGAGUGCCAUUCCUGGGCUACAUCCUGAGCGAUGCAGGCGUGGCUAUGGACCUGGAGAAGGUCCAGGCGGUGACUGACCGGCCAUGACCGCAAACUGUGAAAGCCCUGCAACGGUUCCUGGGUUUUGCUCAUUUCUAUAGGGGAUUCACCUCCAUCUUUGUCCCCCCUCAUGGCCCUUACAGCAGGUAAGGGGACCUGCCUGCCUUGGGGGGAGCAAACACAGCGAGCAUUCCUAGAGUUGAAGAGUCAUUUCAUGACAGCACCGAUAUUACGACACCCAGACCCCACACUGCUGUUCGUGGUGGAGGUGGACGCCUCAGGGGUCGGAAUCGGUGCUGUGCUGUCCCAGAGACAGGGCGACCCACCAAAACUGUACCCCUGUGCAUACUUCUCACGAAAGCUGUCGCCAGCCAAGCGGAACUAUGAUAUUGGAAAUCGAGAGCUCUUAGCCAUUAACUUAGCCCUGGAGGAUUGGAGGCACUGGUUAGAAGAGGCCUUGCAUCCCUUCCUGGUACUAACUGACCACCGUAACCUAGAGUAUCCUCAGACAGCAUGCUGUCUGAAUCCAUGCCAGGCCCAAUGGGCCUUGUUCUUUACCAGAUUCGAUUUCACUGUAUCGUAUCAGCCAGGCUCUAAGAACACGAAGGCUGACGCCCUCUCACGGCUGUUUGCCACUGAAGCUCCAACCGAACGCCCAGAGCCGAUCCUACCCAUGCACUGUGUUGUGGCCCCAGUACGCUGGCACUUCUUUCAGGAACUCUAAGAGGCACAAGCAGCUGAGCCCAAUCCACCCGUGGCACCAGAAGGUAAGGAGUAUGUGCCCGUGAAAAUGCGACCAACACUCCUGCAGUGGGCCCAUGACUCUCCCACGGGUGGUCACCCUGGCGUGCACCAAACACUGUCCCUCCUCCAAGGGAGGUUCUGGUGGCUGUCCAUGCCGGAGGACAUUCAGGAGUACGUAGAGGCCUGCACAAUUUGCUCCCAAGCUAGAACUCCAACACAGAGAUCUGCUGGCUUGCUGGAACCGCUGCCAGUACCCUAACGGCCUUGGUCUCAUGUAGCAGUGGACUUCCUGGUAGACCUCCCACCUUCAGAUGGUAAGACUGUGAUACUAACCUUGAUUGACCAAUUUUCCAAAGCCUGCUGCCUGAUCCCUUUUCUGCGGUUUCCCACAGCCCUGGAGAUGGUGGAGGCGCUAUUCCAACAGGUUUUCCGCCUAUACGGCCUGCCAAAGGACAUUGUGUCUGACCUUGGGCCCCAGUUCACCUCUCAAGUGUGGAAGGCAUUCUGGGCAAAACCGGGGGUCUCGGUGAGCCUCACCUCUGGCUACUACCCCCAGUCCAACGGACAAGUGGAACGCCUGCAGCAGGAUGUCAGUCGCUUCCUCCACAGCUACUGCACCCAUCAGUAACGAGUAUGCUCACAACGCCUUGACCCACUCCUCCACAGGUCCUCUGUUCUCCAGGCACCUGAUAAUGUCACGCUGAGGCCGCCAGCUGAGUCAGUGGCAGUCGAUGAGGACCCAGUCUAUACUGUUCGGGCACUCCUUGAUUCCCGUUGAUGAUCCCGUCCAGCCCAUGCCCCGCCAGGUAGACUGUCCGCCCUCACAUCGUAGGGCAGCAGGCACUGCCCGUAGGGAGGGGAGUACUGUCACUCCUGGCACGCCUGACGACUGUUCGUCUAGCAGUCGUGUGCUUGACGACCCCAGAGACGUAGUAUAAAAGCAUCCACUCUGACACACUUGCCUGCAGAACCUGCAACUGAGAGACAUUCUCCUCACCUGUCAAGGCUGUUUAUUCUGUUCUGUUUUCUGGGUGCAACCCCGUGUGAUACAA